rnacentral:lncRNA from 1 species
GUAUAAAUAGCACUGACUUUGUUAUUCUAAAUACAAAGACCUAAAAAUAACAACUAUGACCAAAAGUCUAAAAUAUUUAAAAAAUGACAAUUGUACGGUGACAAAUUAAAUAACACUAGCUGAGAAUAGUAUGGGACUUCCUCUGUAGUUCCUGAAUAUUUCGGCUUCUUUUUAAGUUUGUGUUCAACAAUAUUAUUGUCUCAUGUUUAUCUUGAUUUGUUAACAAGCAUCUAUUUAGCCACAGCUCUGUGUCUGCAGCAUUAUGCUGAGCCCUGAGAAGUGUCCCUGGAUACCCAGAAAGCCCCAAGCCCCAUGGAGUCAAGAUCCUCCUCUUGUAUUUAUGCAGUCACUUUCAUCUUUAAUAUUCUACUGUCUUGCAUCCUCCCUAAUAUGACUUCUUUCUUUUGGUUGCCAAGAGCUUCUCC